UACGUAGGGGGCAGCUAGUCGUUCGGUUCGAUUUGUGGCGUAAAAGAGCGUGUAGGCGGCCAGGUAGGUCUGGUGUGAAAACUCGAGGCUUAACCUCGAGAUGUCAUCGGAAACCAUCUGGCUAGAGUCCGGAAGAGGAGAGUGGAAUUCCUGGUGUAGCGGUGAAAUGCGCAGAUAUCAGGAAGAACACCAAUGGCGAAAGCAGCUCUCUGGGACGGUACUGACGCUGAGACGCGAAAGCGUGGGGGAGCGAAACAGG
rnacentral:rRNA from 1 species